rnacentral:rRNA from 1 species
UACGUAGGGUGCGAGCGUUGUCCGGAAUUAUUGGGCGUAAAGAGCUUGUAGGCGGUUUGUCGCGUCUGCCGUGAAAAUCCGAGGCUCAACCUCGGACUUGCGGUGGGUACGGGCAGACUAGAGUGUGGUAGGGGAGACUGGAAUUCCUGGUGUAGCGGUGAAAUGCGCAGAUAUCAGGAGGAACACCGAUGGCGAAGGCAGGUCUCUGGGCAUUAACUGACGCUGAGGAGCGAAAGCAUGGGGAGCGAACAGG